CUAGAAAACUAUAGUUUUAUUUUUUUGUGAAAUAUUUCAAAUUGUCAUCGCACUAAGUCUCGCAGCACGUGACUGUCAAAGUCCCCAAGUGAAAAAGGGGAGCAGACAACGUGCAAGCUGACGAAUAGACAAAGGGGUAGAAUAUGGGGGAAUGCGUUCUUAAAAGGCCUACGGCCAUGACAAUAAGCCCCACGUGCAGUGGCGCCGAGCGACAGAAAAAGACGGAGAGGGAGAGAG